CCAAUAGCGUAUAUUAAAGUUGUUGUGGUUAAAAAGCUCGUAGUUGAACCUUGGGCCUGGCUGGCCGGUCCGCCUCACCGCGUGUACUGGUCCGGCCGGGCCUUUCCCUCUGUGGAACCUCAUGCCCUUCACUGGGUGUGACGGGGAAGCAGGACUUUUACUGUGAAAAAAUUAGAGUGCUCCAAGCAGGCCUAUGCUCGAAUACAUUAGCAUGGAAUAAUGAAAUAGGACGUGCGGUUCUAUUUUGUUGGUUUCUAGGACCGCCGUAAUGAUUAAUAGGGACAGUCGGGGGCAUCAGUAUUCAAUUGUCAGAGGUGAAAUUCUUGGAUUUAUUGAAGACUAACUACUGCGAAAGCAUUUGCCAAGGAUGUUUUCAUUAAUCAGGAACGAAAGUUAGGGGAUCGAAGACGAUCAGAUACCGUCGUAGUCUUAACCAUAAACUAUGCCGACUAGGGAUCGGACGAUGUUGUUUCAAUGACUCGCUCGGCACCUUAUG
rnacentral:misc_RNA from 1 species